AGCGAAUGGAUUAAGAGCUUGCUCUUAUGAAGUUAGCGGCGGACGGGUGAGUAACACGUGGGUAACCUGCCCAUAAGACUGGGAUAACUCCGGGAAACCGGGGCUAAUACCGGAUAACAUUUUGAACCGCAUGGUUCGAAAUUGAAAGGCGGCUUCGGCUGUCACUUAUGGAUGGACCCGCGUCGCAUUAGCUAGUUGGUGAGGUAACGGCUCACCAAGGCAACGAUGCGUAGCCGACCUGAGAGGGUGAUCGGCCACACUGGGACUGAGACACGGCCCAGACUCCUACGGGAGGCAGCAGUAGGGAAUCUUCCGCAAUGGACGAAAGUCUGACGGAGCAACGCCGCGUGAGUGAUGAAGGCUUUCGGGUCGUAAAACUCUGUUGUUAGGGAAGAACAAGUGCUAGUUGAAUAAGCUGGCACCUUGACGGUACCUAACCAGAAAGCCACGGCUAACUACGUGCCAGCAGCCGCGGUAAUACGUAGGUGGCAAGCGUUAUCCGGAAUUAUUGGGCGUAAAGCGCGCGCAGGUGGUUUCUUAAGUCUGAUGUGAAAGCCCACGGCUCAACCGUGGAGGGUCAUUGGAAACUGGGAGACUUGAGUGCAGAAGAGGAAAGUGGAAUUCCAUGUGUAGCGGUGAAAUGCGUAGAGAUAUGGAGGAACACCAGUGGCGAAGGCGACUUUCUGGUCUGUAACUGACACUGAGGCGCG
rnacentral:rRNA from 1 species